UAAGCUUAAGAGAAAGAGAAAGAAAAAGCAUAGCCAUGGCUGCCAUACUCUCGGCCAGCCAUGGUCUCUAAAAAAAAAAAUUGUUCUUGUUUAGAUUAAUUCUAAGGUAAUUUGCAAGUCCAAGGAGGUGAUAGCAACAUUGGGUAUUGAAUUGAGGAACAGAAAUAGUGCAAUUGGUGCAAGUGGGUGUAGAAUUUGCUCCGAUUAAAUUAAGGCUAAAGGGGCGACGAAGCAAACUUGGUUACGGUUAACCUAUAACAGGUACAGAUAGUCGGUUUGGUGACCCUUCAACAUAGGACUUCUACUCAGCUGUCUUGGAGAGCUCCAUUGUUCCGGAGCCUAGACUUUUGGUACAGAUCUUAUGAUGUAUAUAUAUAUAUAUAUAU